ACCGUCUCAUCUCAGUCCCUCUCCUAAUCCAGCAAGCACAUAUUCAGCCAACGGAUGCUCUACGGAAGGAGAAGAAACCCAUGAUUAACACAGGAUGGAUGGGCUGUGUGACUUUUUGAGGUUGCGGAAUGUACCGGAG